CCGGGGGGUUUGGCCCUAGUAACGGCGAGUGAAGCGGCAACAGCUCAAAUUUGAAAUCUGGCUCUUUCAGAGUCCGAGUUGUAAUUUGCAGAGGGCGCUUUGGCUUUGGCAGCGGUCCAAGUUCCUUGGAACAGGACGUCACAGAGGGUGAGAAUCCCGUACGUGGUCGCUAGCUAUUGCCGUGUAAAGCCCCUUCGACGAGUCGAGUUGUUUGGGAAUGCAGCUCUAAAUGGGAGGUAAAUUUCUUCUAAAGCUAAAUAUUGGCCAGAGACCGAUAGCGCACAAGUAGAGUGAUCGAAAGAUGAAAAGCACUUUGGAAAGAGAGUCAAACAGCACGUGAAAUUGUUGAAAGGGAAGCGCUUGCAGCCAGACUUGCUUGCAGUUGCUCAUCCGGGCUUUUGCCCGGUGCACUCUUCUGCAGGCAGGCCAGCAUCAGUUUGGGCGGUGGGAUAAAGGUCUCUGUCAUGUACCUCUCUUCGGGGAGGCCUUAUAGGGGAGGCGACAUACCACCAGCCUAGACUGAGGUCCGCGCAUCUGCUAGGAUGCUGGCGUAAUGGCUGUAAGCGGCCCGUCUUGAAACACGGACCAAGGAGUCUAACAUCUAUGCGAGUGUUUGGGUGUCAAGCCCGAGCGCGUAAUGAAAGUGAACGGAGGUGGGAACCCGGAAUGGGGCACCAUCGACCGA
rnacentral:rRNA from 1 species